GGAGGAAAAGAAACUCAACUGGGAGUUACCUUAGUAACGGCGAGUGAAGCGGUAAAAGCUCAAAUUUGAAAUCUGGUACUUUCAGUGCCCGAGUUGUAAUUUGUAGAAUUUGUCUUUGAUUAGGUCCUUGUCUAUGUUCCUUGGAACAGGACGUCAUAGAGGGUGAGAAUCCCGUUUGGCGAGGAUACCUUUUCUCUGUAAGACUUUUUCGAAGAGUCGAGUUGUUUGGGAAUGCAGCUCAAAGUGGGUGGUAAAUUCCAUCUAAAGCUAAAUAUUGGCGAGAGACCGAUAGCGAACAAGUACAGUGAUGGAAAGAUGAAAAGAACUUUGAAAAGAGAGUGAAAAAGUACGUGAAAUUGUUGAAAGGGAAGGGCAUUUGAUCAGACAUGGUGUUUUUUGCAUGCACUCGCCUCUCGUGGGCUUGGGCCUCUCAAAAAUUUCACUGGGCCAACAUCAAUUCUGGCAGUAGGAUAAAUCAUUAAGAAUGUAGCUACCUCGGUAGUGUUAUAGCUUAUUGGAAUACUGCUAGCUGGGAUUGAGGACUGCGCUUCGGCAAGGAUGCUUGGCAUAAUGGUUAAAUGCCGCCCGUCU
rnacentral:rRNA from 1 species